rnacentral:rRNA from 1 species
GACGAACGCUGGCGGCGUGCUUAACACAUGCAAGUCGAGCGGUAAGGCCCUUUCGGGGGUACACGAGCGGCGAACGGGUGAGUAACACGUGGGUGACCUGCCCUCAGCUCUGGGAUAAGCCUGGGAAACCGGGUCUAAUACUGGAUAUGACUCCAUGACGCAUGUUGUGGGGUGGAAAGCCUUGUGCGGCUGAGGAUGGGCCCGCGGCCUAUCAGCUUGUUGGUGGGGUGAUGGCCUACCAAGGCGACGACGGGUAGCCGGCCUGAGAGGGCGACCGGCCACACUGGGACUGAGACACGGCCCAGACUCCUACGGGAGGCAGCAGUGGGGAAUCUUGCGCAAUGGGCGAAGGCCUGACGCAGCGACGCCGCGUGAGGGAUGACGGCCU